CCUACGGGCGGCAGCAGUCGAGAAUCAUUCACAAUGGGGGAAACCCUGAUGGUGCGACGCCGCGUGGGGGAAUGAAGGUCUUCGGAUUGUAAACCCCUGUCAUGUGGGAGCAAAUUAAAAAGAUAGUACCACAAGAGGAAGAGACGGCGAACUCUGUGCCAGCAGCCGCGGUAAUACAGAGGUCUCAAGCGUUGUUCGGAAUCACUGGGCGUAAAGCGUGCGUAGGCUGGUUCGUAAGUCGUGUGUGAAAGGCGCGGGCUCAACGCGCGGACGGCACAUGAUACUGGGAGACUAGAGUAAAGGAGAGGGAAGUGGAAGUCGCGGUGUAGCAGUGAAAUGCGUAGAUA
rnacentral:rRNA from 1 species